AUUCUACUCCCUCUGUUGCACAAUACAUGCCUUCUAUUUGUCAAAAUAUAUAUGUAUCUGGACAUGUUUUAGUAUAUAGGUACAUCCAUUUUUGGACAAAUGGAAGUCAAGUAUGUUGGAAUGGAGGGAGUACACA
rfam:Triticum aestivum genome assembly, contig: Triticum_aestivum_CS42_TGACv1_scaffold_131720_2BL